rnacentral:rRNA from 1 species
UACGAAGGGGGGCUAGCGUUGCUCGGAAUCACUGGGCGUAAAGCGCACGUAGGCGGAUUGCUAAGUCAGGGGUGAAAUCCUGGAGCUCAACUCCAGAACUGCCUUUGAUACUGGCGACCUUGAGUCCGGGAGAGGUGAGUGGAACUGCGAGUGUAGAGGUGAAAUUCGUAGAUAUUCGCAAGAAACACCAGUGGCGAAGGCGGCUCACUGGCCCGGUACUGACGCUGAGGUGCGAAAGCGUGGGGAGCAAACAGG